AUUAGAGUUUGAUCAUGGCUCAGGACGAACGCUGGCGGCGUGCCUAAUACCAUGCAAGUCGUGCGAAUCACCAGGAGCCCCGCUCCUGGUGGUUAGCGGCGGACGGGUGAGUAACGUGGGCAACCUGCCUGUAAGACUGGGAUAACACCGGGAAACCGGUGCUAAUACCGGAUAAUCCUUUCCCUCUCAUGAGGGAAAGUUGAAAGUCGGCUUCUACGUGGCACUUACAGAUGGGCCCGCGGCGCAUUAGCUAGUUGGUGAGGAUAACGGCUCACCAAGGCGACGAUGCGUAGCCGACCUGAGAGGGUGAUCGGCCACACUGGGACUGAGACACGGCCCAGACUCCUAGGGAGGCAGCAGUAGGGAAUCUUCCACAAUGGACGAAAGUCUGACGGAGCAACGCCGCGUGAGUGAUGAAGGUCUUCGGAUCUAAACACUGUUGUUAGGGAAGAACAAGUUGGGUAGUAACUGACCUGGCCUUGAAGG
rnacentral:rRNA from 1 species